rnacentral:lncRNA from 1 species
GUCUUGAAUGCAGCUCUUGGGUUUGGCCUGGAUUCCUGCAGUAGGUGAUGCCUGCACUAAGCAAAGGCAAGACAGGACGUGUUGUUGUAUAUGUCCUUUACCAUUCACUCAGCAGAUCAAUUUUGUUUUUGUUUUUUGGUUUUUUUUCCCCAUGUAGUCCUUUCCUAGGGAAGCUUGGCUAUUUGAAUUUGACUGUUAAGUUAUAUACAUCUUGUCAGGUUGAUUUACUAGUAUGUCUAAAUAUAUCUACCAUCUGUGAUAUAGCUCAUCCUUUCCAGUUUCACAUAUCUGUAGUGUUAUUAAGAUGAGGCCUAUCUCUUGGACUAGCAGAAAGGGGGUGCAGUUAAGUAGGGAUAUGUGAUGCUAAGAAAUUAUUUUAAUCAUAACUCUUCCUCCUGGGCUACCUUGAAUGGCAUAUAAUACUUGCUUGAACCCUCUAAGUCUCAAAAUAGCAAACACAACCAAUUUUUCCCAUUGAAAGUGACAUAAUGGGCCAGUGACAAAGUCUGUAAUCCAAACCUCGGCGUGUGUCUCAGACAGGAGCAUGGCUGUAGGCAGGACCCUCAUUCAGAGGCACUAGCCAGGAGUAAGACAGACCCUGCCUCAAAAUCACAGUGGGAAGAGAGAACUGAUUCCCGAAAAGUUAUCCUCCACCCUCCAUUUGUGUCAAACAAGAAAACACAACACACACACACAAUAAUAAGAAAAAUAAAUCUAAAAAAGUAUAAAAAUUCUGCAGAUUAUGUGUUUGAGUUUACAUAUUGACACAUAUCUCUAAUUUCUUGGCAUGAAAUUGAAGCUCACAGUAUUAUGAUUCGUUUAAUAACAAUAGUGAUAGCUCACUAGGCGCUUCUCAUUCUAGGAAAACAUUCGGGCCCUUAGUCUGCAAGCAUGAUUACCUAGGGGGACCCUCUUGGCAUUUUGGAUUAAGAUACCCUACAAGGUAUCUUUUCUGGACUAUUAAAGUUCUCUGUAAAGGACUGAGCAGUACUGUCUGGUUGCCAUUGUGAAAGCAGUGUGACUGGGUUUGUGUAGCUUAUGUGGCCACUUGCUGGGAUUCAUAUAUGAGAUAGAUUGAAGUCAGUUAGAAAGUGACUGAGCCAGGUAUGGGGGCUCAUACUGUAUUUCCAGCACUCUAGAGUCUGAAAAAGGGGGAAUGAGGAGUUUAGAGGCCAGCCUUGGCCAUAUGAGACCUGUGUCAAACAGAAAAUAAACACAAAAAAGUGAUUGUUUUUAAUAAUUAGUUUCUAUAACUGAGGAUUGAUACUUGUGUGAACUUUACAAAGUAUAUGUAUAUAGACAGCAUUAGUAUGAAUUAACUAAUAAGGAAUUAUAGAUAUAAGUGAGAUUGAUACAUACACAUAUAUCUAUGUGAGAGAGAGAAACAUAUAUACAGCAUAUACUACAUGUAUAUCUGCGGCUUUAUUAUUAAGUAAACUACUUACUAUUGCUAGAUUGAUGUUAAAUGGUGUCAGAAUUAAAACCCAGAAUUUUGACACCAAAUGCAUACAUUCUGCAGCACACUGUUC